UACGGAGGGUGCAAGCAUUAAUCGGAUUUAUUGGGCGUAAAGAGCGCGUAGGCGGGCAAAUAAGUCAGAUGUGAAAUCCUGGAGCUCAACUCCAGAACAGCAUUUGAAACUAUUUAUCUUGAGGGUAGGCGGAGAAAAUGGAAUUCCACAAGUAGCGGUGAAAUGCGUAGAUAUGUGGAAGAACACCAGUGGCGAAGGCGGUUUUCUAGCUUACUCCUGACGCUGAGGCGCGAAAGUAAGGGGAUCAAACAGG
rnacentral:rRNA from 1 species